rnacentral:tRNA from 1 species
GUCCACGUAGCUCAGCAGGAUAGAGCACAGGAUUCCUCAAUUGGGGGUUGCAUAAGGAAACUUUUGCAAUCUAACUGCUCAAAGUCGGGGAACGCUUCGCUGGGCUUCCAGCAUGCCAAUCCCGAGCCAAGCCCUGAAGAAAUUCAGGGAAGUGUGUAGAGACUGGACGGGCAGCACCUAAAAGCACUCGUGCUCAUGGUGAAGGGACAGUCCAGACCACGAACGCGGAAGCGGCGGCGAAAGUCGAAGUGGUAUGAAUCCUGGGGUCGGAGGUUCGAAUCCUCUCGUGGACACCA